GGGCCCGUGGCCUAGUCUGGAUAAGGCACUGGCCUUCUAAGCCAGCGACCCCGGGUUCAAAUCCCGGCGGGCCCG
rnacentral:tRNA from 1 species